UACGUAGGUGACCAGCGUUGUCCGGAUUUACUGGGCGUAAAGGGCGCGUAGGCGGCCUGUUAAGUCGAACGUGAAAUCCCCGGGCUCAACCCGGGAACUGCGUCCGAUACUGGCAGGCUUGAAUUCGGGAGAGGGAUGCGGAAUUCCAGGUGUAGCGGUGAAAUGCGUAGAUAUCUGGAGGAACACCGGUGGCGAAGGCGGCAUCCUGGACCGAGAUUGACGCUGAUGCGCGAAAGCCAGGGGAGCAAACGGG
rnacentral:rRNA from 1 species